rnacentral:piRNA from 1 species
UAUUUUAAAAACUCCAGCUCUCUCAGACCC